AAAAAAGGUAAGCUACUAAGAGCGAAUGGUGGAUGCCUUGACUGGUAAAGGCGAUGAAGGACGUACUAGACUGCGAUAAGCUACGGGGAGCUGUCAAGAAGCUUUGAUCCGUAGAUUUCCGAAUGGGGCAACCCAAUGUAUAGAGAUAUACAUUACCUAUAUAGGAGCGAACGAGGGGAAUUGAAACAUCUUAGUACCCUCAGGAAAAGAAAUCAAUAGAGAUUGCGUCAGUAGCGGCGAGCGAAAGCGCAAGAGGGCAAACCCAGUGCUUGCACUGGGGGUUGUAGGACUGCAAUGUGCAAGAGGUGAGUUUAGCAGAACAUUCUGGAAAGUAUAGCCAUAGAGGGUGAUAGUCCCGUAUGCGAAAAACAAACCUUAGCUAGCAGUAUCCUGAGUAGGGCGGGACACGAGAAAUCCUGUCUGAAGCUGGGUCGACCACGAUCCAACCCUAAAUACUAAUACCAGAUCGAUAGUGCACAAGUACCGUGAGGGAAAGGUGAAAAGAACUGAGGUGAUCAGAGUGAAAUAGAACCUGAAACCAUUUGCUUACAAUCAUUCAGAGCCCUAUGUAGCAAUACAGGGUGAUGGACUGCCUUUUGCAUAAUGAGCCUGCGAGUUGUGGUGUCUGGCAAGGUUAAGCAAACGCGAAGCCGUAGCGAAAGCGAGUCUGAAUAGGGCGCUUAGUCAGAUGCUGCAGACCCGAAACGAAGUGAUCUAUCCAUGAGCAAGUUGAAGCUAGUGUAAGAACUAGUGGAGGACUGAACCCAUAGGCGUUGAAAAGCCCCGGGAUGACUUGUGGAUAGGGGUGAAAGGCCAAUCAAACUUCGUGAUAGCUGGUUCUCUCCGAAAUAUAUUUAGGUAUAGCGUUGUGUCGUAAUAUAAGGGGGUAGAGCACUGAAUGGGCUAGGGCAUACACCAAUGUACCAAACCCUAUCAAACUCCGAAUACCUUAUAUGUAAUCACAGCAGUCAGGCGGCGAGUGAUAAAAUCCGUCGUCAAGAGGGAAACAACCCAGACUACCAGCUAAGGUCCCUAAAUCUUACUUAAGUGGAAAACGAUGUGAAGUUACUUAAACAACCAGGAGGUUGGCUUAGAAGCAGCCAUCCUUUAAAGAAAGCGUAAUAGCUCACUGGUCUAGUGAUUUUGCGCGGAAAAUAUAACGGGGCUAAAGUAAGUACCGAAGCUGUAGACUUGAUUUUAUCAAGUGGUAGGAGAGCGUUCUAUUUGCGCCGAAGGUAUACCGGUAAGGAGUGCUGGAGCGAAUAGAAGUGAGCAUGCAGGCAUGAGUAGCGAUAAUUAAUGUGAGAAUCAUUAACGCCGUAAACCCAAGGUUUCCUACGCGAUGCUCGUCAUCGUAGGGUUAGUCGGGUCCUAAGUCGAGUCCGAAAGGGGUAGACGAUGGCAAAUUGGUUAAUAUUCCAAUACCAACAUUAGUGUGCGAUGGAAGGACGCUUAGGGCUAAGGGGGCUAGCGGAUGGAAGUGCUAGUCUAAGGUCGUAGGAGGUUAUACAGGCAAAUCCGUAUAACAAUACUCCGAGAACUGAAAGGCUUUUUGAAGUCUUCGGAUGGAUAGAAGAACCCCUGAUGCCAUCGAGCCAAGAAAAGUUUCUAAGUUUAGCUAAUGUUGCCCGUACCGUAAACCGACACAGGUGGGUGGGAUGAGUAUUCUAAGGCGCGUGGAAGAACUCUCUUUAAGGAACUCUGCAAAAUAGCACCGUAUCUUCGGUAUAAGGUGUGGUUCGCUUCGUAUUAGGAUUUACUCCGAAAGCGAAGAAACUUACAACAAAGAGUCCCUCCCGACUGUUUACCAAAAACACAGCACUCUGCUAACUCGUAAGAGGAUGUAUAGGGUGUGACGCCUGCCCGGUGCUCGAAGGUUAAUUGAUGGGGUUAGCAUUAGCGAAGCUCUUGAUCGAAGCCCGAGUAAACGGCGGCCGUAACUAUAACGGUCCUAAGGUAGCGAAAUUCCUUGUCGGUUAAAUACCGACCUGCAUGAAUGGCGUAACGAGAUGGGAGCUGUCUCAAAGAGGGAUCCAGUGAAAUUGUAGUGGAGGUGAAAAUUCCUCCUACCCGCGGCAAGACGGAGAGACCCCGUGGACCUUUACUACAGCUUGACACUGCUAUUUGGAUAAGAAUGUGCAGGAUAGGUGGGAGGCUUUGAGUAUAUGACGCCAGUUGUAUAUGAGCCAUUGUUGAGAUACCACUCUUUCUUAUUUGGGUAGCUAACCAGCUUGAGUUAUCCUCAAGUGGGACAAUGUCUGGUGGGUAGUUUGACUGGGGCGGUCGCCUCCCAAAUAAUAACGGAGGCUUACAAAGGUUGGCUCAGAACGGUUGGAAAUCGUUCGUAGAGUAUAAAGGUAUAAGCCAGCUUAACUGCAAGACAUACAAGUCAAGCAGAGACGAAAGUCGGUCUUAGUGAUCCGGUGGUUCUGUGUGGAAGGGCCAUCGCUCAAAGGAUAAAAGGUACCCCGGGGAUAACAGGCUGAUCUCCCCCAAGAGCUCACAUCGACGGGGAGGUUUGGCACCUCGAUGUCGGCUCAUCGCAUCCUGGGGCUGGAGCAGGUCCCAAGGGUAUGGCUGUUCGCCAUUUAAAGCGGUACGCGAGCUGGGUUCAGAACGUCGUGAGACAGUUCGGUCCCUAUCUGCCGUGGGCGUAAGAAGAUUGAAGAGAUUUGACCCUAGUACGAGAGGACCGGGUUGAACAAACCACUGGUGUAGCUGUUGUUCUGCCAAGAGCAUCGCAGCGUAGCUAAGUUUGGAAAGGAUAAACGCUGAAAGCAUCUAAGCGUGAAGCCAACUCUAAGAUGAAUCUUCUCUAAGCUCUCUAGAAGACUACUAGUUUGAUAGGCUGGGUGUGUAAUGGAUGAAAGUCCUUUAGCUGACCAGUACUAAUAGAGCGUUUGGCUUAUCUUUAAUAAAGCAU
rnacentral:rRNA from 1 species